rnacentral:rRNA from 1 species
AGAGUUUGAUCCUGGCUCAGAGCGAACGCUGGCGGCAGGCCUAACACAUGCAAGUCGAGCGCCCCGCAAGGGGAGCGGCAGACGGGAGAGUAACACGUGGGAACGUGCCCUUUGGUUCGGAACAACACAGGGAAACUUGUGCUGAUACCGGAUAAGUCCGUAAGGAGAAAGAUUUAUCGCCAAAGGAUCGGCCCGCGUCUGAUUAGCUUGUUGGUGAGGUAACGGCUCACCAAGGCGACGAUCAGUAGCUGGUCUGAGAGGAUGAUCAGCCUCACUGGGACUGAGACACGGCCCAGACUCCUACGGGAGGCAGCAGUGGGGAAUAUUGGACAAUGGGCGCAAGCCUGAUCCAGCCAUGCCGCGUGGAUGAUGAAGGCCCUAGGGUUGUAAAGUCCUUUCGGCGGGGAAGAUAAUGACGGUACCCGCAGAAGAAGCCCCGGCUAACUUCGUGCCAGCAGCCGCGGUAAUACGAAGGGGGCUAGCGUUGCUCGGAAUCACUGGGCGUAAAGCGCACGUAGGCGGCUUUCUAAGUCAGAGGUGAAAUCCUGGAGCUCAACUCCAGAACUGCCUUUGAUACUGGAGAGCUUGAGUCCGGGAGAGGUGAGUGGAACUGCGAGUGUAGAGGUGAAAUUCGUAGAUAUUCGCAAGAACACCAGUGGCGAAGGCGGCUCACUGGCCCGGUACUGACGCUGAGGUGCGAAAGCGUGGGGAGCAAACAGGAUUAGAUACCCUAGUAGUCC